rnacentral:rRNA from 1 species
CAGCCGCCGCGGGAAUACGGAGGGUGCAAGCGUUAUCCGGAUUCACUGGGUUUAAAGGGUGCGUAGGCGGAUCUGUAAGUCCGUGGUGAAAUCUCCAGGCUUAACCUGGAAACUGCCAUGGAUACUAUAGAUCUUGAAUGUUGUGGAGGUUAGCGGAAUAUGUCAUGUAGCGGUGAAAUGCAUAGAUAUGACAUAGAACACCAAUUGCGAAGGCAGCUGGCUACACAAAUAUUGACGCUGAGGCACGAAAGCGUGGGGAUCAAACAGGAUUAGAUACCCGCGUAGUCCCUGUCUCUUAUAC